GUCUAAGUACAAUCCGAAAGAAGGUGAAACCGCGAAUGGCUCAUUAAAUCAGUUAUGGUUCCUUGGAUCAUCGCCACAACUAUGGAUAACUGUGGCAAUUCUAGAGCUAAUACAUGCAAUUAUGUCCCGACCAGCAAUGGAAGGGAUGCUUUUAUUAGACCAAAACCAACCGGGCUGGCUCGUCUGGUCCGCUGACUUUGGUGACUCUGGAUAACUUGAUGCUGAUCGCAAAGGUCCUCGCACCUGCGACGUAUCUUUCAAAUGUCUGCCCUAUCAACUAGAUGGUGGGUUCUGGGCCCACCAUGGUUGUAACGGGUAACGGGGAAUCAGGGUUCGAUUCCGGAGAGGGAGCCUGAGAAAUGGCUACCACAUCCAAGGAAGGCAGCAGGCACGCAAAUUACCCACUCCUGGCACGGGGAGGUAGUGACGAAAAAUACUGAUGCGGGACUCGUUAGAGGCCCCGUAAUUGGAAUGAGAACACUAUAAACUCGUUAACGAGUAACUAUUGGAGGGCAAGUCUGGUGCCAGCAGCCGCGGUAAUACCAGCUCCAAUAGCGUAUACUAAAGUUGUUGCAGUUAAAAAGCUCGUAGCUGGACUUAGUCCCACACAGUCGGUUCACCGUUCGUCGGUGUUUAACUGGCGUGUUGUGCGGACGAGCCGCCGGUGGAUGCGGUUGGCUGUGGGCCUCGGGUCUGCAUGUCGGCGGUCCUUGUAAUCCUACUGCGGUGCUCUUGACCGAGUGCCGAGGUGGGCCGGCAAAUUUACUUUGAACAAAUUAGAGUGCUCAGACCAAGGCUCAGUGAAGCCUGCAUGUUGUGCGCAUGGAAUAAUGGAAUAGGACCUCGGUUCUAUUUUGUUGGUUUUCUGAAUUGAGGAAAUGAUUAAUAGGAACAGACGGAGGCAAUCGUAUUGCGACGUUAGAGGUGAAAUUCUUGGAUCGUUGCAAGACGAACUAAAGCGAAAGCAUUUGCCGAGGCUGUUUUCUUUAGUCAAGAACGAAAGUUAGAGGUUCGAAGGCGAUCAGAUACCGCCCUAGUUCUAACCAUAAACGAUGCCAGCCAGCGAUCCGCCGAAGUUGCUACAAUGACUCGGUGGGAUGCUUCCGGGAAACCAAAGCCUUUGGGCUCUGGGGGAAGUAUGGUUGCAAAGCUGAAACUUAAAGGAAUUGACGGAAGGGCACCACCAGGAGUGGAGCCUGCGGCUUAAUUUGACUCAACACGGGAAACCUCACCAGGCCCAGACACUGGAAUGAUUGACAGACCGAAGGAUCUUUCUUGAUUCGGUGGGUGGUGGUGCAUGGCCGUUCUUAGUUGGUGGAGUGAUUUGUCUGGUUAAUUCCGAUAACGAACGAGACUCUGACCUGCUAAGUAGUCGUUCCCGGUAUCCUGUGUGCUGCCGGCGACAAAAAAAAUCUUCUUAGAGGGACAGGCGGCUUUUAGCCGCAUGAGAUGGGGCAAUAACAGGUCUGUGAUGCCCUUAGAUGUUCUGGGCCGCACGCGCGCUACAUUGAGGAAAUGAGCGAGUGCUCCUGGCCCGAAAGGGCUGGGUAACCCGUUGAAAUUUGCUCUUGGAUGGGACUGGGGCUUGCAAUUGUUCCCCAAGAACGAGGAAUUCCCAGUAAUCGCGAGUCAUAAGCUCGCGGUGGACGAGUCCCUGCCCUUUGUACACACCGCCCGUCGCUACUACCGAUUGAGUGGUUGAGUAAGGUCUUUGGACUGGUGCACGACGGCUCCUUGCGAGCUGUUGAAGCUACCGGGAAGUCGACCGAACUUGGUCAUUUAGA
rnacentral:rRNA from 1 species